CCUACGGGCGGCAGCAGUGGGGGAUAUUGCACAAUGGGGGAAACCCUGAUGCAGCGACGCCGCGUGAGUGAAGAAGUAUUUCGGUGUGUAAAGCUCUAUCAGCAGGGAAGAAAAUGACAGUACCUGACCAAGAAGCCCCGGCUAACUACGGGCCAGCAGCCGCGGUAAUACGUAGGGGGCCAGCGUUAUCCGGAUUUAUUGGGUUUAAAGGGUGCGUAGGCUGUGCGGUAAGUCAGCGGUGAAAUGCCCCCGCUCAACGGGGUGAAGUGCCAUUGAUACUGACUUGCUGGAAUGCGGAUGUCGUGGGAGGAAUGUGUGGUGUAGCGGUGAAAUGCAUAGAUAUCACACAGAACACCGAUUGCGAAGGCAUCUAACGAAUCUGCGAUUGACGCUGAUGCACGAAAGCGUGGGUAUCAAACAGGAUUAGAUACCCGAGUAGUC
rnacentral:rRNA from 1 species